rnacentral:lncRNA from 1 species
AUGCAACUGAACCAGGAAGUGCCACUUGUGCAUACGCUCGUGCUUUGCCUUUGCAGCUGGCCAGUUACACGCACACUUGCCUGGAGUCAUGACACGUUUCUACUCUGCUGCUCCAGCCCCACUGCUGUGCACCCUUGCUGUGCUCUUCCGAACAUCUCUGUCAGUGGGCCAUGUACCGAUGCUGCUUUGGUCAUCUCAGAGAUUACAGUGGAAUCCGUAUGCAGCUUUGCACGAAGGACACAUUGUCUCAGCACAGGAACUGACUGUACUCUUACAACCAUUUACCCAGAAUUCCAGAAACCUCAUCUUGUUCCUGCAAGAUAUGGUACGUAACAUUAAUUCCUUUUUUCUCACCAAUGCUGAGUGCUGUUCUGUACCUGAAUGAGAUGUCGUGGCUCCUUCUCACCAGUCUGCUGUCUUUAUUUUUCAGCUUAGCAUAGAUGAUUUCACGUGCCUGAGUGAAUCCUACGGUAACAAGAAUCCAUUUCAAAAUGUUCAGGCAAGCAUUUUCCUCUUUUUUUUUUUUUUAAUAGAUAGUAUUUAAAAUAAAAUAAAAUAAAAAAAACAACAAACAUGUAAGAAAGAUGCCAACAGAAAAUAAUUGAGAAAAUUAAACUGAAUUGCAGCAGUUUUCCUAUUUUAAUUAUUUAUUGAAAUUAUUCCAGUUUAAUCAGAUGGGUUAAAGCAAAUCAACUGAGUUUGCAGAAGUGUAUUUUGUAGCUAUUUUAUUUGAAGAUCAAGUUUUCAAAAUUCAUUGUAACUGACAAAAUUAUUCUUAAACAUGCUGCAAUUUAGUCUUGUAAAAAAGAAAUAAAUAUAUAAACUUCAAGACUGACACCCCAAAAUUCUGUUUUGAAGCCAUAGGAAGAAAAGAAGUUAUAGGAAUCCAUUAUUUAUUCCUGAUUUUCAGAAUUGAACCCUCAUUUUAUUUUCAUGCAGGAAGUUAACGGUUUCAUAUUCGAACACAGUUAAUAUGUAACUAGAUAUUGGAUUGCUUUAAUCUUCAUGAAAAAAAAAUAAUGCUACUUGAGUAAUUUGAAAUGAACUCCAGGCACAGAUUCUAAGAUGGAGUCUUCCUGAGCCAGUCAGCAACUUCAGCCUCUGUCCUCACUGAGGAGGUUUAUGGAUUUUGUGCACAACAUCUAUGGUUGUAUUUGCAUGACCGUUUGUUGAACUGUAAUUAUACAGAAGAAGUGUUCACACGUGAAAGCCAUGAAGGUAUUCUCGCAGGUAGUGCAGGAUGAACAGAGGAAGUGUAAAUUCCCAAGCACCACACAGCAAUCUGCAUGUGUUAUUAAAUACAUAAAUAUUCACGUAUUACCUUUACAUCUAUACUAAGAACCUCACAUCUUCCCUGUAUUAUUAAUGCUGGAGAUCUUCAUCUCUUUGCCACAUAACAGCAGUUUAACAGUGAUGCUGGAACAAACCCAGCUGUUCAGGGUAUGUGUGUGCAUGCGUUUUCUGAGGAAUGAUUUGGGGUAAUAUUCUUUUGUAGUAUAAGGAUCAGCAGUUGUCCACAGGAAGAUGUACUGGUACUUCUCUGGUAUGCCUUAAACUCUCUGCGUUUCAAAUCCACACAAGGCAAUCUGUGGAGCAAAGUUUGUUGCUGCCUGACAGCAAAACUGGUUUGAUUUCAAAAGCUGUGUGAAAUAUGCACAUGGCAUUGCAAACUCAUAAUGAUGUGAUGGCAUUAUUUAAGUAAGCCCUGGAUGUUUAAGAGGAGGGAUCUUAAACUAGUUAAUACUUCUUUUGCCUUAUAAUCAGGACUCCGUCAGCACCAUAGAUAGAGCUUGAGGCUAGAGAUCGGUCCAGAGAUUUGCAGGUUUAGAAACUGGAUGGUGUAGUGAAUGGAUGGGGACCUACAGAGAGCUUGUGAGGAGGUCCUCAGCUAAACAAAGGUCCUUUGUAUAUCUAUAUAUCUUGGGUCUGUAUUUGGCAGAGCACAGAUUUAAACCCAGCUUUUCAAUGAGCUGAAUAAAUGUCGGUAACUCUUUCUGACCUUGCCUCUGUUCUCCGUCUGUCUUGGAGCUGAGAAACUUUUUCUCAUUACAGCUUCUUUAAAAAUUGAAAGUUUCUUUUGACAAAUUGCUCACCUUAACUCCAGCACUUCCUGGAUUUGUGCUGUUGGACUUGGCAAUCAGGAUACUUUUCUAGCAUAAUUCUGUGUGUGUGAGGUGCUGGAACUUGAGUGAAAAGAAAAAAAAAAAAAGAGAUGUAUAAAUUAAAUAUUUAUUUUUCAACUAGGUGCCCACAUGGAGAAUUUUGUCAAUAUCUUUUGCAUAGGCUUAUAGCUUUUAGGACCAGAAAGCAUCUUUAUAAUCAUUCAGUUCCAUCUUGGAUGUGACAGAGGCUACAAAAAUUUGCUCAGUUGCUAUGGCAUCAGUUGCACUCCAAUUGAGCUACUUUGGGAAAGAACUCAAUCAUGCCAUGAAAGACUCUCUCAUAAUCUGCACAAAACACAGGACAAAGUGAGGGUCAGGUCUGAAUUUUCUCAUUGGGGAAAUUAGGAUCUUGGAUGUUACAUAAUCACAAAUUUUUAUACCUUCACACUUGAUACUAUACAAGUGAUUCAUUAGGCUGUAAUAGGCAUUCCAUGUCACUUGGGCAUCCUCCUUCUGAACUUCAGAAAUGGAAAUUUAUUCACAACCUAAACUGAAGAUCUCAUUUAGAACAUAUAUGUUCAUGUAGGAGCAUGUGUACUACAAGAAGGACGUGUUAUUUGUAAAAGUGUUACAGGCUUGUAAACCACAGAGAAAUUUGCAGAGAGUACAUUUGUUCAGCUACGUUAGCAGCAGUUUUGAGCUUUUGGAUCAAUGGGUUUGUAUGCAAUAAAAGAAUUCUAUUUCCAGUUAAUACAAAAGGAAGCUUAUAGGUAGAUCAUUUAUCUUAGACAUUCAAAGAACUUUUAAAUUAAAUAAUAAAAUACAAAGAUUAGCACUUAGGAACUUUUUUGUCAAGCAGUCACCUACCGUACAAACUAUUUUUCUUUAGUAUUAGCUUUGGCUUUGCCUAACCUACGUUCAGUUCCUUAGAGCCACAGUGUAUGGUAACACGCUGCAGUUAGUGGCCAGCUGUGCAGCUGCAUAAUUAUUAAGUCAUUGCCAUUCAUAGUUCUAUGUCUUAAUCAUAUUCUCAGUGGUCAUAGACUGAGGAGUAUUGUUUAGUCAUGUGUAAUACAGAUGUCCUGCUAUAGUUUUGAUUGACUUAUUUCCUUUCUCUUUACCUCCUUGAGUUUUCAUGUGUGUGUAUAUAUAUAUAUUAUUUUUUUCUUGACAAGGGAGCAUGCAGAACUGCAUAAUAACAAUGAAGGUAUAAGUUCAUCAUGGAUUUAUUCAGUGAUAUGAUGAUGUUUUUUCUCUGUCCUUUUCAAAAAAAGCUACAAUUUGAUUUUUCAAUUGUGAUCACUAUCAGUCACUGAAUAGCCAUUUUCAAAGAGCUGUUGUGUCUCUUGAAGUUUCAUUACUGAAGGGUAACACUCAGUUCUGAGUCUAUUAUGUAUUAUUGUGUACAUAAAAUCAGUGCUGGCUUUUUUUUCUCACCCUGUGCGCUGCCAAAAUCAAUUUACAUUGAAUCUCAUCAGUUACUUUUUUGCCCAAGAGGUUUUACCAGAAGUUGCUUCUGCAAUUCAUCAGUCAGCCCUUGCCUUCACUAUCUUGAAUAAUUUAAUGUAAUUGACAGAUUUCAUUAGCCCAGUAUUUAUGUCAUCAUUUAUGAAUGUGAGCAGAACAGACCCUAGUGCAGUAGCAGAUACUUUUCUCUACCCUUUGUUUGCUCUUUACCUGCUUUUUACCUCUUCUUUACCUAGCUCCACAUGAAGACUGCCUCUCUCAUGCUAAAGCAGCUUAAUUUCUUUAUGAAACUUUGCUUCAAGACUCUGACAAGUGCCUUUUGUGGAUCCAAGUACAUUUUAUCAGCUAGAGCUCCUUGCUGUACAUGCCUACUGACUACUUCAGAGAUUUUCAGCAGAAUUGUGAGGCACAGCUUCUCUUGCAAAAGCUGUGUCCACUUCUCCCCACUAUAAUCCUUCCUUGUUGUUGUAGUGUGUAUUUUAUUCUUUGAAAUAGUUCCUUCCAUUCUUGGACUUCAGGUUUCCUUCUCUAGGCUUCCUUGAAUCUGUCUGUAACC